GUGCUGUACGGUGUACAUUUUAGGACAUCGUCAGGUAUCAGAAAAAAAAUUGUCAGGUGUCAGUUGUCAAAAAAAAAAUUGUCAGUCAGGUAUCAGACAAAAAAUUGUCAGGUGUCAGAAAAAAAGUUGUCAGGUAUCAGAAAAAAAAUUGUCAGGUGUCAGAAAAAAAGUUGUCAGGUGUCAGAAAAAAAAUUGUCAGGUGUCAGAAAAAAAGUUGUCAGGUGUCAGAAAAAAAAUUGUCAGGUGUCAGAAAAAAAAUUGUCAGGUGUCAGAAAAAAAGUUGUCAGGUGUCAGAAAAAAAAUUGUCAGGUGUCAGAAAAAAAAUUGUCAGGUGUUAGAAAAAAAAUUGUCAGGUGUCAGAAAAAAAGUUGUCAGGUGUCAGAACACAAGGUACCAGAGAGAAAAUCUUCCUGCAGGUGGCGCUGUUGUCAUGUCCCACCCGAAUUGAUUUCCAAAUACGUCAUCAACGUGUGACCGUGGGAGAGCGUAAGGUCAUUGACCUCACCGGAGUUUUACCGUGGUUCAGGCUCCUAACGACACAAGGUAAGUUUAACUUUUUCUCCCUUUUGUUCAUAUUUUUGCCACAGUUGUGUUAUAUUAAGUUGCAGUUAUGUUGUGAAAGUUACAUAUCAGAGACGGAAAGCCAGUUUUGUACGAAACCAAAUCAGUACUAUUUUUGUCUGGCUAAUUCAUUCUAGCUAGCGACAGUGGUGAAACGUGAUUCAAAUUUAAACUGUUCAGUAAUUGUUUUGUAUACAUUUCAGCAAAUGGACAAGCUGAAAGCUUACGAGCAGCUUAAAAAAGACCUUGAAAAUGGUAAUCCAACACUUUAUUAAACUUUUUGGUAAUGCUUGCAAGUUAAUUUUUUUAACUGCAAAGAACCCUGACAAUAUCAUGCUUUAAUUAUUUAACAUGUAUGGUAUUCAUAUUUACUUCUCUUUAUUAAUAUGCAU
ensembl:lncRNA